UCCCCUACACUUCUGCUAAAGGAAGGUCUCAUCCUCAUCAGAUAAUGGCAAGACAAGACAAGUGAUCCUCUGCUGCAUUUCUUCAUAACAGGGUGCAGCUCACCAAAUGUCAUUUACUGCACUCUAUAGCCUCAUCUGAAGGUGGAAUUAUCCUCUGUAGGCUGUGUUUCUCCUUGCUAUGAUACCUGAGUGCCUCUUAGACCUGAAUGUAUUUCUCUAAUAUCCAUUCAAGGUGGGAGGGGGUAGUUAUGUCAUCUUCCAAGAUGAGAACCUGGACAUGGGAAUUAGUUUCCUAGGAGGAUUUAGGAUGUAAUUUGUAGCAUCUGCUUUUAAAAUACUCUGCCAUUUAGUGCCUGCCCCAUCACAAACAGAGCAAACAUCAUUCGCUAACCAGGGAAAAGUAUUGGCAAGAGGGGAACAGAUUCAACACUCUUUUUCCAAGAGUGGGAGAUUUCCAUUCCCCUCAAGAUUCACUGUCAGGGACAUACAUCUGGGAUAAAAUGAGAAAGCACUAAGUGAUGGAUUCAGUGCCAUUCUUCCUGUUUUCUGUAGUCUGUAGGUAAUAGCUUUUAUCUACACUAGAUAAAAUAAAUUUGAAUCCUUCUUCUGCAUAACUACAUCUAAUUUGGAUCAAACCUAAUUGGAUAUGACAAUAAUGAAAUUGAAAACAAAUCUAUUAUGUCAUAACAUCACCAGGUAUUGCAGUACUUGUAGGUUUAUGGGAGUCAUGGUUUAGAGGCUGUUUUUUACUUCUCAAUCCCCUCUGUUCUCCCACUGCUACAUUCUUGCUGUGGAGCUGGGAUCUGAUUCUGUGGAUUUUUUGCUAAAAACUCUUCCCUCUUCCUGCCCUCAAAAGCAAGGGAUUUUCAAACUGGACAAUGUUUUCUGGACUCCUGACACGUGGAUGCAAGAAGAGAGCUUUCUGUGCAACAGCACUACCUGGAAAAGCAAGAGGGCUGAAGUCAGGAUCCAGCAGGUUUGGGCAGUGCAGGACUGGGCUGGGCCCCCAGCACAGGGCUUCCAACUGGCAUUGCUGACACUUCAGUGGCACAUCAUAACAGACUACAUUUAUUAUCAGAAAACAUUUCAUUCUAUGGGCAUUUAUAUACUGUCCAAAACUAGUUUCAGCUGCCAGUCUUGCCCUAUGAAGUUCAUUUUAUGUAACUACUCUUCACCAGAUCAGGAACUACAACCUACCAUUCCUGUCUCCCUGAUGCUGGCCUCAGUACGCAGAAUCUCUCCCUUUUUAUCAGAAAUUUUGAAUCAGAGAUGAGCCUGUUCUGUGAACCCAGCUGAGGCUAACCUCUGGAGCAGGAUGUAUGCAGCUCAGAAUUUUCAAGUUGUAAGUUCAAGUUGUGGUUCUCUACACAAACAUAGCAAAGAGAAGGUCUAGCUAUGAGCAUCCUCUGGUUACUACACCUCUGAAUAUUUUCCUGCACAUUUCCCUUAGGAUGUAAGCAGAUAUUUUAAAGUAAAGAGCAUUUAGGAACCUUGACUGGCCACACUAUAAAGCCUACCAUCUUUUUUUCAGCAUGUUUGGCUUUAGACAUGGAAGGACAGCUCCUGUUUAAUUCACUUGAGCCUGAUGUGUAAACCUGAAGCACCUUGGUGAAAUAAGUAGAGCUACAGCCAGAGCAGAAAGGCAGAACAAGCAAUUGGGAGUCUCAUGCAAAUUCUCACAAAUUAUUCCAUCUGAUGACUUUGAGACAAAAAUAGAUGUCUGAAAAAUUGCCUUUAAUGUAAACUGAAGCUUUGAACUCCACAGCAGUACUUGUUGCAGAGCAAAGAUCUUGUUUGGGUAGUCUAUCUUGAAUUUUAGUAGUUGCAAUAUAAAGACUCUUGAAGAAGAUACUUGAAUAUGAAUGAAGUAAAAUUAAAAGGAAGACAGUAAACCAUAAGUCUGACAUGAGGGAUAAGGCAUCAUAAGAUAUGUCAAGAAACUGAGAAAAUUCUCUGUUUUUUAAAGAUGGUAGUUAAAAAAUACUUUUUUGCAGAAUAUUAACUGACACUGAGACAGGCUCUACACCAAAACAGACCCUCCUUAGCACUGUGGGAUGAUGAAAGAAACCAACAGACAUUUUAAGAAAGGGCUCAGUGAGGGAAAUGCCACUUGCCCUGUAUAUUUCCUAUUGCCCUAUUGCAUCAGUGCUUUUGGAAUAGAACAAAAAUGAUUUCACUAGUAGAAAAGUGCCAGAACAGGGGGAGGGAGCUUCACAGAAAAAAAAAAGAAGUGGUGAAACACUGUGUUUGGAAAGUGAUGAUAUUUUCAUUCCAACCUUAUACUGCAAAGAGUGAGAUGCAACUAAAAGCUCUGUUCCAUGGAAAAGCCAAGCAAAACUCUUGAUCAGAAGUAAUAGUGUCUUGUUAAAGUGCAAUAAAAGAUAUACCUUCAUCUGAAAACAGCAUCUUCUUUCUCUCUCAAGCUGUUGUACAUGUAGUUUCUGUUGAUUUCAGUGACAUUUUGGAAAAAAAUUUAGUUAGUUUCUUUUUUUUUCAGCGUAUACCAGCAGGAUGAACACAAAAUUCUCCCUCCCAAAAAGAAUCAGUUGCUGAUGCAGACAGGAGAAUACUCUAUCACAGACAAAGGGAAGAUUUUCUAUCACCCCUUUUUGCCACACCUGGCUGAUCCUGACCCCAGGAAUUGCUCAGGUCUCCCCAGACCUGAGUUUCUCGUGUUAACUGCACAAAGGAGAACCAGGUCAGUAAAGUUUACUCUGCAAAGUGUUUAAGUGAAUUCAUUUUGAUUGGAGCAACUAAAGGUGCAGUUUACACAAGAAGCAGUUCACACUGCAAGAAGAAAACAAGCAAUCCAGCCACUAAGUCUGAUGGACAGUAAUUUCCCACAGAGGAGCAAUGUUAAGUGAACUAGGGACAAGUGUCCCUUCCACUUUUCCCACCACCACAGCUGGGUUCAGACCAGAGCAGCUACUGGCAAUCAGAUCACCCACUGUCUCCUGCAGAAAGUUCUGCCCUUUAAGAGCCAGAGUUAGAGGUUUAAAGCUACCCAAUUAGGCAAUUUGGGGAAAUUUUUUUUUUUAAUGCUAUGAUUUUACUUCAGUCACUGAAUAACAGAAAAUCCAUAUUUUCCUAUGUCAUUUUUAUGACCACAAAUCUGUGUUUUGCUGCCAUCAGAAAUGUUCAGAGAGUUAAUGUGGUGUAACAGCAGUCCAAAUGAAAUUAAUCUGCAAAUUGUCAUAGUGAUUUGAGGUUGACAAGAAUUUCUUCUCAGCUGGAAACCGCAGAGGGAGAGCUUCACAGAUCACUUGGUCAGCUACGUGCCCCAUUAAACAUCACUGACUGAUAUCAGUGAAGGCUUAUCAAUCACCAGAGUCCCAGAUACUGUGAAGAGAUUAGGAGUGCCACAGUUUAGUAUGGAAAAUAAAAUCCCUGGUGGGUUUUCUGCGUCCUCCAGUCUGCUUUGUUUUGUAGUGAAAUUUUAAUAGGAGUUCAA